rnacentral:tRNA from 1 species
GUGACUUUAGUUUAAUAAAAAUAGUGAUUUGUCUAGUCAUAGAUGGUAAAAUUUAGUAACCAAGUCACU